GCGCAAGCCAGCCUGGCUGCUGGAGGAGCGCCGAGGCGCCGUUGCCUCCCACCGCCCCGGCGCGAGGGCAACGGCGAGCGGCGAGGAAGACGAGGCGCGCGGCCUCCACCUCCGCUGCUGCUGCCGCCGCCACAACAGACUGCGCGCAACACUCCGCCACAUGCCGACGGCAAACUACGCCCUCCCUUGCCCGGAAAGUUUCCGCUUCCGGUCACGAGGCCGGCAACUUCCGGAAACAAACCAACCGGCCCCGCGCCCAGCAUAGAGUUAAAACAAAAGCGGGCAAUGCGAACCUCCCUCACUUCGGGUUCACAUUUGGACGGCGUUCUAUGCCGGGUCUUCACAUGCUAGCCAGAACAGCAAGUUUUCUUCGCUAUAUUCUGUUCGAAGAAAUUCUCUGAAAAUAUUCCUACCGGCUGGUGUUUUCAUCAUCUUGUCAAAAUUUUGAGCCCAAGACAGGAUUUCAUCUUCUGUAGGGUUUUGGCUGCAAAACAAACAAACAAUGACAAGAGCAGCAGCAACAACAACAACGAAAAGCUAUUCUGUGUUUCUAAUUCUAAAAGCUAGCAGUCAAACAAUUCAAAUUUAGAAAGAGAAGACAGAAGUAGGUUGUCAGGUUAUGUACAGGAGUCAGAGAUGAGUGCUGGGAUUGGGGACAGACAUUUUGCCUCCCAUGGAAAUACAAAUCUUAUCUUAAUCCCAAAGCGCAGACCUCACAACAACAGAUAUUUCCUCAAACUGACAAGUCAGCAAGCAUGGAUGGAGAGCAGGUGCAUGCCCCCCCCCAGCAUGCAUUUACACUCCCCACACCAUACACCCUCUCCAAUGAGAGCUUCACUCUUUGACUUGAGUUGGCCAGAGGUGAAACAUGAGACGUGUGAAUUAAUUCUAAAAAGGAUAUUAAAAUUUGCUUCUAUAAACAAAAUGGCUGUGCAAUGGAUUAUUAAAACCUUUCUUCAACUUAUAAAGACCAGAAAUGUGGGAUACCAUUCUUUGAAACUAAUGGAUGCUAUCUUAUGAAAAAUCAUUCUUGUCCACAAGAUGGCAUUGCCUUGAAGUGGAAAGGGAAGAAAAAAGUUAGACUGAAAACCAUGAAGGCAAUUUUUUAAAAUCUCAGGUCUUGAAUUGGUGCAAUAGUUUAACUUAACAACAACAACAACAACAGUAAGCUCCAAUACUUUUAUGUUUGUAAUUUAUAGCAUGUAGUAAGGUUAUCAAUAAGACAGGAUUAGGCCAAUAACUUGAACUAAUAUAAAAAGGGAGGAGCAGCAGUAUAAUGUCAGAAAUUGAUGGUGUAAAGGAAGGCAAAUGAAAGAGGGUAGGGAGGCUAAUGAAAAACCAAUGAAAGGAAAAACUGGGGCAAAAGAAAAAGAAAAUUGUGUGCAUGUGAAUUCUGUGUAUGGCAACACUGGCUCCAGCCACACCUAUCACUAACCACACCCACUGGAUCCAAAAGCUCACACACUGCCACUUUGGGCCUAGAAGGCUGUCUGCUCCUAGUAUAGACAACACUGAGUGAGAUAGAUUAAUGGUCUGGCUCAGUAUAAGGCAGCACGUAUGUCUGAAAGGUAACUACAUCAGUGUAAUUGUGACAUGGGUAUGUAUCUGACGACAGAACAAGCGAUGAACUUCCCUGUUCUUCCAGAACCUCAGCUGAGUGUUGUCAGUUGUGUGAAUCCUCAGUGGAUGAUGCAACAGAGAGACCCAGCUCAGAUGACCAUUAAAAUUUCAACUGUGCCUUCCUGAGCCUUCCACUUGCAUUAAUUAAAAGAUCUGGUUUAUGAGAUUUCAAGUAGGAAUUGCCCCCACGCUUGCCAGCAUGUUUCUACAACCUGUUAGUUAACAAACUAACAGCCUGUUACUUAACUGACAAGCAACCUGUUAGUUUCACAAUCUGUUAUGUAUCAAACCACUGUAACUAACAUUGGUUAUAACUAUCCACAGUUCUCUAGGUUCAUACAUAACAUGGAACUGUGGUUUAUUCAACAGCAAAAGUGGAAGCGUUCACUCCCCUUUUAUUGCACAAGGAGGAGAGAGGACAAGAACACACACAAGCCCAUACCUGUAAGCAGUUUACAUAAGAGUAUGAAAUAUACAUUAAAAUAAUGCUAAAAAGCAGAUAUUAAGAAGAGCAAGUAAUCAUAGUAAUUAUCAGAAACUGAUAAACGGUUUUAAAAAUAAAUAUA